AGAAGCUUGCAGUCUUCUGGUGUAGUAAGGUGUUACUCUGUGUGGCUGGAAGCUUGGCAUGUUCUGAUGUGGUAGGCAUCCCGCUAACCCCAGUUAAGCUGUCAGAAUCUCUGGAUAAAACUUCCCAGCCCUUCCUGAUGGUGUCAAGAACAUGAAGUCAUGGUACUGUAAAAGCAUUUUGAAUAGGAGCUGCUUAGGCAGAUCUCCAGUUGGCAUCGUGAGGCACAAGUUGGAAGCCAGCCUGGAGCAGAGGAGGAGGGAGCCUCAGCAGGACACAGCGCACAAGACGUCUCUGGCAAGCACAUACGAGGAGCAGCUGAGAGGAUUUGACAGAUGAGCAGAGAUGGCAGAUACUGGAUCUCCCACCAGGAUAAACAGAAUGCCAAACAGAUAAACAUGGUUUAUAGCUUACCUGUGCUAUAGCUAAGCAAUUUGGCAUAAUUGGACUGGAUAGUUAUUUACCUCAUAACUUUAUAUUGCAGAACUUUCUUAUCAAGUCAAUCUUAGCAAUUUAUCUCAUAAAAAGGAUAAUAUUAAGUUAAGAAGAAAAAUAUUUUUGUAUAUCUACAAUGAGAAGUUGCACAGCAUGCAUAGUACAGUUUAUGGAAAUAUCAUCGUUUAAUCUGCUUUUCAACAAUUACUCAAAUUAGAGACUUAUUUAACUUGGUAGUUGAAUUCAACCCAAUCUCUGUCUUUGAGAUAGUAAAGCCUGCUGAGAAAGGA